rnacentral:rRNA from 1 species
UUGUUUUAUUUAGAAUCUUCUGAGUAGUUUUUACAAAUAAAUAAAAACUUUCAACAACGGAUCUCUUGGUUCUGGCAUCGAUGAAGAACGCAGCGAAAUGCGA